UGAUGUCUCUCCUGAUUGCCUGAUUGUGCCCACCUGUGUCACCCUCCCUCAUGUGUACUAAUGUCUCGUCCUCCUCUCGUCCUGUGCCGGAAUAUAUCGUCUCGUCAUGUACCGCCAGCCUUUGUCCACAGUCUUCCCCCAAGUUGAUAACAUGACCAGUGGCGGGCCGUGCGUUUCCCACCUAGGCCUUCAGUGAUGUCGGACGACAAUGAUCACCUCUCAAAAUAUCAUAAUUGAUGUCACCACGUGACCAUUGCUGGGAAAAUACUACACAGAAACAGAGUCACCACACAACUGCAUGACCAUUUCAACAAGGACAGAAUAAACAACCUCUGGAUUCAUGGAACUUCUUUGCACACAAAUAUAUUAAUUGGAAUAUUCAAUACAUUUCACAUAGAAACAUUGUGAAUAUUAUUUUCAACAGUGUGUUGAAAACAACCUUUUUUGGCUCAGAAAGGUUCCUUAUGUCUCAUUAUUCAUAUCCUUUAAUACUUGUCGGUGUGUAAUUCCAGACAUAGAUGUAAACAUUAAUGAGACAACAAUGAACAUUUUUCAACAAGU